CCGAUCGCUUAUAAAAGUCACAGCACACAUCUCCUCAAUAAGCCAAUCGAUUCAACACCUCACCUGUCGAUCUCCGACAAACGGUGCGGGACUAGUUACGCACUGAAAAAAUGUGGAAUAAUAAUAAUAAGAGGAGGAAGAAGAAGGAGUAUGCAAGAGAACAAUAGUAGUGCUUUUCAAGCACCACUAAUAAAACACUUACUGUUACGAUAGACAGCCACCUCCUCUUUGAAGCAUUCCUCAAAAUAAAAAUAAAACUUUAGCGGUGCUAAAAUGAGAAGCCGCAGGUUCGUUUAAAUCACACAGCGCAAACACUGGUACACAGCCGAGAUCUUAGAGACUUCUGUGUAACUCACUCCACUUUUAAACAUAGAGUCCACCUAUUGCUGGGGGUAUCGUAAAGCCAUUAACACCCCCAGACACCAACUCAUUAUCAUAAACAUACUGAUAGGAUUACACCACGACCCCCGGUCAUAAAAUAAGUGUCUCCACACAAAGCUCUUGCUCAGGAAAAACACAAAGAUCAUAAAUUAGACUACCUACAAACUGUUGCUCAGGAAAACACAAAGAUCAUAAAUUAGACUACCUACAAACUGUUGCUCAGGAAAACACAAAGAUCAUAAAUUAGACUACCUACAAACUGUUGGUCAGGAAAAACACAAAGAUCAUAAAUUAGAACACUACUUAGAUUGACAGUUUGACAGAAAGUACUGUCUACCAGUGAAACACGUGUAUGGGCGGGGUUUAGAGAGAGAGAGAGAGAGAGAGAGGUGUGUCUGAAACAUGUAUGUAUGGGCGGGGUUUAGAGAGAGAGAGAGAGGUGUGUCUGAAACAUGUAUGUAUGGGCGGGGUUUAGAGAGAGAGAGAGAGAGGUGUGUCUGAAACAUGUAUGUAUGGGCGGGGUUUAGAGAGAGAGAGGUGUGUCUGAAACAUGUAUGUAUGGGCG
ensembl:lncRNA